AUCGAACGCUGGCGGCAGGCCUAACACAUGCAAGUCGAGCGGAGCGGCGGACGGGGGAGUAAUGCCUAGGAAUCUGCCUGGUAGUGCGGGAUAACGUCCGGAAACGGGCGCUAAUACCACAUACUAUCAGAUGAGGCUAGGUCGGAUGAGCUAGUUGGUGGGGUAGAGGCCUAACAAGGCGACGAUCCGUAACUGGUCUGAGAGGAUGAUCAGUCAAACUGGAACAGAGACACGGUGCAGAGUCCUACGGGAGGAAGCAGUGGGGAAGAGUGGACAAUGGGCGAAAGCGUGAUCCAGCCAUGCCGCGUGUGUGAAGAAGGUAUUCGGAUUGUAAAGCACUUUAAGUUGUGAGGCGUUACCAACAGAAUAAGCACCGGCUAACUUCGUGCCAGUAGCCGCGGUAAUAC
rnacentral:rRNA from 1 species